rnacentral:rRNA from 1 species
GAUGAACGCUAGCGGCAGGCUUAAUACAUGCAAGUCGAGGGGCAUCAAGGUACACGAAAGUGUAUUGUUGGCGACCGGCGAACGGGUGAGUAAUAGGUAGGUAACCUACCUCAUACUGAGGCAUAGCUGGGAGAAAUUCCAGGUAAUUCCUCAUGAGGUUAUAUGACACAUGUGAUAUAAUCAAAGGUAUCGCAAGGUACUGGUAUGAGAUGGGCUUACUGACCAUUAGCUAGUUGGUGAGAUAAGAGCUCACCAAGGCGAAGAUGGUUAGGGGUUUUGAGAGAGAGAUCCCCCACAUUGGAACUGAGAUACGGUCCAGACUCCUACGGGAGGCAGCAGUAGGGAAUAUUGGGCAAUGGGCGGAAGCCUGACCCAGCCAUGCCGCGUGAAGGAAGACGGCCUUAUGGGUUGUAAACUUCUUUACUAUGCGACUAACUAGAUUUACGAGAUAAUUCUAUAGAAUGUAGCAUAGCAAAAGCACCGG